CAUACCUAUUCGAAGGGAUAGGGUCGGUUCGGCCGGGUUUCACACAGGUGUUGCAUGGCUGUCGUCAGCUCGUGUCGUGAGAUGUUGGGUUAAGUCCCGCAACGAGCGCAACCCUCAUCCUUAGUUACCAUCAGGUAAUGCUGGGGACUUUAAGGAAACUGCCAGUGAUAAACUGGAGGAAGGUGGGGAUGAUGUCAAGUCAUCAUGGCCCUUAUGGAGUGGGCUACACACGUGCUACAAUGGUGGCUACAAUGGGCUGCAAAGUCGCGAGGCUAAGCUAAUCCCUUAAAAGCCAUCUCAGUUCGGAUUGUACUCUGCAACUCGAGUGCAUGAAGUUGGAAUCGCUAGUAAUCGUGGAUCAGCACGCCACGGUGAAUACGUUUUCGGGUCUUGUACACACUGCCCGUCACGCCAUGGGAAUUGGUUUCACUCGAAGCU
rnacentral:rRNA from 1 species